rnacentral:rRNA from 1 species
CGGGGCUAAUACCGGAUAAUACAUGAAACCGCAUGGUUUCAUGAUGAAAGACGGUUUUGCUGUCACUUAUAGAUGGACCCGCGGCGUAUUAGCUAGUUGGUAAGGUAACGGCUUACCAAGGCAACGAUACGUAGCCGACCUGAGAGGGUGAUCGGCCACACUGGAACUGAGACACGGUCCAG